CGUUCUCCUAUAUAAUCCCCGUUUUCCUCAAGCUCGUAGUUCUAUUUUUCAGUGGUAAAAAAAUCAAUCAUGAGAUCACUUUUAUUCUCUGUAUUUCUGUUAUUCGCGACUGCUGGCUAUUGCAAUGCAGAAUGUCCGGGAAAUUCGUCAGGAACGAGUUGUGGUCUAGCCUGUGAGCCAACUUGUUCUGUUCCUGCGCAUAUACCAUUUUUAUGUCCAAGAAUCGUGUGUGUUCCCGUCGAUGGUGCACCUUGUCGUUGUGAUAUAGGUUUUUACAGAAAUUCUACAGGGAAUUGUGUAGAAUGGAAUGACUGUGACAAUUCAGAGUAAUAUUUUAUCAAAUAUCAUUAUAUUUGAUAAAAUAUACGAUAAAAUUAUCGAUUUUAUCUCGAAUAAUUCAAAUAAAUAAGACUUGUAUGAUUCAGUUGAAUCUUUAUUAUUUCCUCGCAAUCACAGUGAAGCAUCAGAAACAAACAGCUGAUUAUUGUAUAGUAAAAUUGAUAUUUUUAAACGGAAUUAUAAGUGAGUUCAACUCUACAGGUCGUAAUUACAUGUAUUUUAUGAAGCCCACGCGAAUAUAGUACGCAAUUUGUACCCGACCAUUUAAUUUCUAACAUCUCAUCGUAAAAUAUUGCUACUACACGCUAAUUUCUAUACAUGACAUUCAUAAAAUCGUGCAAUUUUCCUAUUGAUACAUAACAAACAAUGACAAUUGGUGGUUUUAGCGGUCUAUCGAAAAUUUUCUCAAUUAUUAAGGCAUUUCAAUAUUUCAUAUUUUAUUGGUGUUUGAUACCCCAGUUCGGUAAUUAUUGUUUUUUUUUUUUUUUAGAAAAAAAUAUAUCUAUGAAAAAUGUGUUCGCGACACUUUUCCUCCAAUUACUGUAAAUUAUUGCCACGGUUUAUAAAAAUAGUCUGUUAUAAAUACGUAAAAAAGUAUAUGAUUCUCAUUGAAUUAAUU